ACUGUCAUGGAUGCGAGGUCCGAUCACUUCUGACACCAAUGUAAUGAAACAGCAGGGAGCAGGUCUCGAACCUUCGAGCCCGAGGUCCGGCGCGCUAUCGACUGUGCCGCAAAAGCAUGCUCGUGCGGCAUAAUCGAUUUCCGCGGUUAUAAACCCAGGGUCGUUACAAUACAAUAGGACAUGUUGUUUAAUUACCUCAAAUGUCUUGCAAAAUUGUCUGACGGUAUUCUAAUCUUGGGUUACGUUACCUGAGCGUCAAGGGCAAGGCAUCGAUGGAUAUUAUGAGAGGGAGUUUAGAUUAAAUCUCGGAGGAGUUUGUCACCCCAGCCCAACGUCCCUGGUGGUCCUGAGCGAUGAUGUCCCCAACAAUAAGCAGGUAGCUAUCGUAUCUACAUGCACAAGUUGCAUGGUGGAGAAUAUUGCAUGUUUAUUCCCCCCAGUUGAAUAAUUGCAUUGUGAUACGAAACGCGGCAACUGUAUGCUUUAGGACCAUGCGGAUGCCUCAGAGCGGGUAGGCUGUUUUCCAUUUCAGCCAGCUGGAUUUAGGACCGCACUGACACCACAGAGGGCGCGGACGGCGCGGACAGGCUUUGUGAAGGCAAAGCUUCUGAAAGUCUGGCGUGUAGUACCAGCACGGGAGAGAUGAACAGAGGCUGCUGUCUGUGUUGCGCUUUUUCUUCGAGUUGGAAAAACAAGCAGAGCAGAAACUGACUACUCUUUAGUUGACUGGGCUAGAUGGCAAGUUAAGUGCUGCUUGACAUAUUUUUUUUUUCAGUGUUGAGUUAGUAGUGUAACUGACAUGUUACGUUCGUCAAUGUCUCAUCUCUUCUCGACUGAUGAAUGAACUACUAGCGGCUACUGUAGUAGCUACCACGGCCAGUUAAACUCUAGAUAGCCUCUAUCUACCAGUGGCGGUCAGUGCCGUUUAAGAUGAGAGAGGAUGAUUUUUAAUGAGUAUGGCCUUAUUUCUAUUACAGCAUAUUGGAUGACUGCCAUUAGUAUUCCAUUCACCCAGGUCAAUGUAACAUGGACUACAGGUUUAGGCUAUUACAUGAUACAUUCCCUACAUCAUGAGGUUGCUACAACCUAGCCUAUGAAUGAACAUUUACAACAUAGGUGCACACAGGUCGAGAGAAAAAUAUGAGCUGACAGACAGUGACACAUUGAAUACCGCCUUGCACACUUACCUGCAUCUAGCUAAUAUAGGGUGUAAUUAUUAGUCCAACAGUUGCAAACAAGAGUUUCUAUUGGACAAAUUCAGGUAUGUUUUGUUCCGUUUGCUUCCGUUUUUAAGAAACAUGUUUCAACAGAAUCAUCAGAAUGAAUACACCCCUGAUCACUUGUAAACAAAGUUCACUUUCAUUGCAGUAACGUUGUAUUCCUUCUCGCGCUCUCUUUCUAUCACCUUUUCCCUUCGGUUGUGGACUUCAAUGACCAACAUGUCAGCUGUAUGUGACCCUGGCGAAAAAAAAACUUAUCAAGCUUGAGCUCAGGUGCAUCCUGUUUCUAUUGAUCAUCCUUGAGAUGUUUCUACAACUUGUGGUAAAUUCAAUUGAUUGAACAUGAUUUGGAAAGGCACACACCUGUCUAUAUCUGUCUAUAUAAGGUCCCACAGUUGACAGUGCAUGUCAGAGCAAAAACCAAGCCAUGAGGUGGAAGGAACUGUCCGUAGACCUCUGAGACAGGAUUGUGUCGAGGCACAGAUCUGGGGAAGUGUACCAAAAAACUUCUACCGCAUUGAAGGUCCCUGAGAACAAAGUGGCCUACCUCAUUCUUAAAUGGAAAAAGUUUGGAACUACCGAGGCUUUUCCUAGAAAUGGCCGCCCAGCCAAACUGAGCAAUUUGGGGAGAAGAGUCUUGGUCAGGGAGGUGACCAAGAACCAGACGGUCACUCUGACAGAGCUCCAGAGUUCCUUUGUGGAGAUUCGACCACCAUCUCUGCAGUACUCUACCAAUCAGGCCUUUAUGAUAGGGUGGCCAGACAGAAGCCACUACUCAAUAAAAUACACAUGACAGUCCGUCUGGAGUUUGCCAAAAGGCACCUAAAGGACUCUCAGACCAUGAGAAACCAAGAUUGAACUCUUUGACCUGAAUUCCAAGCAUCACGUCUGGAGGAAACCUGGCACCAUCCCUACGGUGAAGCUUGGUGGUGGCAGCAUGGUGCAGUGACGCUCCCCAUCCAACCUGACAAAUCUUGAUAAGAUCUGCAGAGAAGGGGAGAAACUCCCCAAAUACAUGUGUGCCAAGCUUGUAGUGUCAUACCCAAUAAGACUCAAGGCUGUAAUCGCUGCCAAAGGUGCUUCAACAAAGUACUGAGUAAAGGGUCUUAAUAUCUAUGUAAAUGUGAUAUUUCAGUUGUAAUUUUAAAUUGUAUAUGUGGUAUUUUGUGUAGAUUGAUGAGGGGAAAAAACAAUUUAAUCAAUUUUAGAAUAUGGCUGUAACGUAACAAUGUGGAAAAAGUUAAGGGGUCUGAAUACUUUCCGAAUGCACUCUAUAUCACUUUGAAAUUGGAAUAAGUGGUAAAGAAUAGUGAAAAAACGAAUUGUGUUUGUUCAUCUUUAAAGAUCCCAACCAGCGCCUGAUGCGUUGGACUUUGUUCUUGCAACCAUUCAACCUUGAUAUUAGACACAUUAGUGGUAAGGAUAAUAUCAUUGCUGAUGCUCUGUCCUGUGCUCCUUUAACCUAGUUUGUAUCUUCUCUCUGCUGACCCCUAUGGGCUGUCUGCGCCUCUUUCCUCUUAAAUUGCUCCCCAGGUACCAGGGCUGCCGAGUUUGAGGGGCGGACAGUCAGCUGGGGGACACGGGGCUACUUCUAGGUGCCGGGACUGGUAUCCUUUUUUUUCAUUUGGGGGAACUUUGGAUUGUUUUGAAUAUGUUGGGCCGAAAUUUGGGUUGAGGGUGGGACCCUCAUUUUAAUGAAGGGGGUGUCACGGCCCCUCUGCAUUGCAGGGGCGGUUCCUCCUGCAGGCAGAGGGUCGUUAGUGAUUGGAGCCACAUGGGCUCAGGGUAUUUAAACUGCUUCACUAAACCACUCUUGUCUCUCUCUCUGCUCCUCCAGGUAUGAUCCUGUUUUGUUUGUUCCUUUGUAGUUUUACGUAGUUUUCACUCAGUCAUAUUCACACACACAGAUGCACGCAUCCCUGCACUUUACAUACAUCCUACAUUAUGAUACUUUCACACCUCAUUCCCUUUUCUUUGUUUAAACUUAAUAGUUUUUGGUUUAUAAUAAAGAACCUUUUUGAUUGGCCUAUACCUGUUGUUCGUGUCCCCUCAUUUUUGCCACAGGCUAUGAGCCGGCCUGUGACAGUAUGAAUUUCCAGUUCACUUGAUUGGAGAUGUAUCUGAUGAGGAGAACGAAGAUCCAGAAGUCCAGAAGGACAUUAAGACAUUUUAAGUACUUGACAAAAUCCUGGCUUCAAGGAUCUUCAAGGAGUUCUAUCAACUAUGGAAGGAACUAUUGGUAAGCACAAGGAUACGGAGAGUACACAGAAGUUAAUGCAGCACCAUAUCACCAAGUAAAAUUCAAAGUGUGUAAAUGUACUUGACAAAUGAAGGCGAUUCUGAUGUGAGAAUGUGUAUAUGCUGAAGGAUAUUUUCUACCAAUUUUUGUGCAGCAGCUAAAACCCAACAUAUAUUCAGAAUGUGCAGAUGAAGCAGAAAAUACAAGGAUAUUUUUGGUCCUGGCUCCUUCCAGUAGUAAGUCAAAUAGUAUCAUUUCAGAAUGCUGAUCAGUGUGGAUACUGUCUACAAUGCACAUUGACUGGAGCUUUGAGGACAAUUUCAUGGAUCCAGUGAAGAAGUGGACUUUGUUCCUGUGUUUGUGACUCAAGUGCCUGACAAAAAGUAUGAGACACAACACAAGUGGAGGAAAGUGAAUUUGUUUAAAUAUGCUGGAACACAAUUAUAGAUGGUAACAAUUUGCAUAAUUAAUUUGCUCAUAACCCAAAGACGUGGAUGUCGAUUAAGGCAGCCCCCCGCACCUCUCUGAUUCAGAGGGUUAAAUGCGGAAGACACAUUUCAGUUGAAGGCAUUCAGUUGUACAACUGACUAGUUGUCCUAUGUAGGCCAAUUUAUACUAACUACUCCUGUAACAAUGUUAGUCGUACAAUGCAGUUGUAUUAUUCUACACUAGAUGGCAAUAUAACCCUACGAAACAAUGUAACUGCUUUGUACUUUCACUGUAUUCUGUUUUUUCUUGGUUCUUUGAUUUCUGAAAACACCACAUAGGCAACCGGUUUCCCAUUAAACUGUCCAUGAACAACUUUCCCAUAUUCUUUUGAAUUUGCUGUUUGGUGGAUGACAUGUCACUUAAAGUCAUAGUUAGAGAGUCAUGAACAUUGUCCAGUGGGCUCUUUUUCAAAUUGCAUGUAUUUCAGUGGUCUAGAAAAAAACAUGCAUCAGGUUUAAUUGAUAUAUGCAAAUUCUGAAUUAUUGCUUAGAUUGUUGACAAUGUCUCUCCUAAACAUCUCGGGAUGAUACUAGACAGAGCUCGCGAAUGGUUCUUAAACUCUGAGUUUAGGCUUCUGUAUGCCAUGUUUACCUGCUGGAAUCCAAACAAUGCAUGAACUCAACUCCCACACAGCAGCAGACUUGGCUGAAGUGGGUCACGAAGAGAGGGCAGAUGAGUCACAAGGCAGCCAGUCCAAUUCCCAGGGACAAAAAGAAACAAGACUUUGUGAAGAAAAACAUUGAGAUAUGUCAAUGUUCAUGUUGGUCCAAGUGCAGUGUCAGACUGUCACAUAGAUUUGGACAAGUCCCAUGUUACGUGUGUUUUUUUUACCCCACUGGGAAAAAUAAAUAUUUCUUUGACUCAGA